rnacentral:rRNA from 1 species
AACGCGAAGAACCUUACCUGGCCUUGACAUGCACGUAGUAGGAGAAUGAAAGUUCGACGAGGUAGCAAUACCAGCGUGCACAGGUGCUGCAUGGCUGUCGUCAGCUCGUGCCGUGAGGUGUUCGGUUAAGUCCGGUAACGAGCGCAACCCCUGUGGCCUGUUGUUACCCGAGCAAUCGGGACACUCUGGCCAGACUGCCCUGUGAAACGGGGAGGAAGGUGGGGACGACGUCAAGUCAGUAUGGUCCUUACGGCCAGGGCUGCACACGUGCUACAAUGCCCGGUACAAAGGGAAGCCAACCCGCAAGGGGCAGCCAAUCCCAGAAAACCGGGCUCAGUUCAGAUUGAAGGCUGCAACCCGCCUUCAUGAAGCUGGAAUCGCUAGUAAUGGCGCAUCAGCUACGGCGCCGUGAAUACGUUCCCGGGCCUUGUACACACCGCUACAGU